GGCUUUUUUCGCGGCGGCGGACCUCGACCGCCAAUGGAAGAGAUGAUUGUUUUCAUUGGCGAUCAUCGUGGGAACUAUGGCGUCGAGGCGAUCUGCAGGGUUUUGCCGGUCGCGCCA
rfam:Marivita cryptomonadis strain CL-SK44 contig16, whole genome shotgun sequence.